AGUUUCUCGGUUUUCUUCUGGAACCAAAGGAAGGACACCUCUCAGGGACUGUGUUACCUAAAGAACGCGACCUCCAUGAGCACUUGCUGGAGUUGCUGUGCCGCUUUGCUCCCCAGCAGCUCCUGGGCUUCCUGCAGACCUCUCAGAAAUACAGACUGGAGACGGCCAUACAGAUCACACAAAAACAUGAGAAGAGUGAAG